rnacentral:rRNA from 1 species
GACGAACGCUGGCGGCGUGCCUAAUACAUGCAAGUCGAGCGCAGGAAACUGACGGAACUCUUCGGAGGGAAGGCAGUGGAAGGAGCGGCGGACGGGUGAGUAACACGUAAGGAACCUGCCUCAAGGAUUGGGAUAACUCCGAGAAAUCGGAGCUAAUACCGGAUAGUUCAACGGACCGCAUGGUCCGCUGAUGAAAGGCGCUUCGGCGUCACCUUGAGAUGGCCUUGCGGUGCAUUAGCUAGUUGGUGGGGUAACGGCCCACCAAGGCGACGAUGCAUAGCCGACCUGAGAGUGUGAUCGGCCACACUGGGGCAGAGACACGGCCCAGACUGCUACGGGAGGCAGCAGUAGGUAAUCUUCCACAAUGGACGAAAGUCUGAUGGAGCAACGCCGCGUGAGUGAUGAAGGUUUUCGGAUCGUAAAACUCUGUUGUAAGGGAAGAACACGUACGAGAGGGAAAGCUCGUACCUUGACGGUACCUUACGAGAAGGCCACGGCUAACUACGUGCCAGCCGCCGCCGUAA